rnacentral:rRNA from 1 species
AUUGAACGCUGGCGGCAGGCCUAACACAUGCAAGUCGAGCGGAUGAAGGGAGCUUGCUCCUGGAUUCAGCGGCGGACGGGUGAGUAAUGCCUAGGAAUCUGCCUGGUAGUGGGGGAUAACGUCCGGAAACGGGCGCUAAUACCGCAUACGUCCUGAGGGAGAAAGUGGGGGAUCUUCGGACCUCACGCUAUCAGAUGAGCCUAGGUCGGAUUAGCUAGUUGGUGGGGUAAAGGCCUACCAAGGCGACGAUCCGUAACUGGUCUGAGAGGAUGAUCAGUCACACUGGAACUGAGACACGGUCCGGACUCCUACGGGAGGCAGCAGUGGGGAAUAUUGGACAAUGGGCGAAAGCCUGAUCCAGCCAUGCCGCGUGUGUGAAGAAGGUCUUCGGAUUGUAAAGCACUUUAAGUUGGGAGGAAGGGCAGUAAGUUAAUACCUUGCUGUUUUGACGUUACCAACAGAAUAAGCACCGGCUAACUCCGUG